rnacentral:rRNA from 1 species
AUCUUGCCCAAUGAAUUAAUUUUUACAUGGCCGCAGUAUUUUGACUGUACUAAGGUAGCAUAAUCAAUUGUUUUUUAAUUGAUAUCUUGUAUGAAUGGGGUGAUCAAAUAUAAACUUUAUUUAAAUUAAGGAUUGAACUUUAUAUUUUAGUUAAAAUUCUAAAAUUUUAUAAUAAGACGAUAAGACCCUAUAGAAUUUUAUAUGAUUUCUUUUCUAAUUAUAUUAAAUUUUUAAUUUUAAUUUAAAUUAUAUUUAAUUGGGAGGAUUAUUAAAUUUAAAUAACUUAAAUAAAGUAUUUUCAAUAAUUAUUGAAUUAUAGAUUUUUAUUUAAAAAUUAUUAGAUUAAAUUACCUUAGGGAUAACAGCGUAAUAUUUUUGGAGAGUUCAUAUUAAUAAAAAUGAUUGCGUCCUCGAUGUUGA